GGCAAGUGUUUUCCGGAAUUAUUGGGCGUAAAGGGUGCGUAGGCGGUCUAGUAAGUCAGUGGUGUAAUGGCAACGCUUAACGUUGUCCGGCUAUUGAAACUGCUAAACUUGAGUUAGAUAGAGGCGAGUGGAAUUCCAUGUGUAGCGGUAAAAUGCGUAAAUAUAUGGAGGAACACCAGAGGCGUAGGCGGCUCGCUGGGUCUUAACUGACGCUGAGGCACGAAAGCGUGGGGAGCAAACAGGAUUAGAUACCCUGGUAGUCCACGCCGUAAACGAUGAGUACUAAGUGUCGGGUUAAACCGGUACUGAAGUUAACACAUUAAGUACUCCGCCUGAGUAGUACGUACGCAAGUAUGAAACUUAAAGGAAUUGACGGGACUCCGCACAAGCGGUGGAUCAUGUUGUUUAAUUCGAAGAUACCCGAAAAACCUUACCAGGUCUUGACAUGUUUUUGCAAAAUGAUAGUAAUAUCGUGGAGGUUACCAGAAACACAGGUGGUGCAUGGUUGUCGUCAGCUCGUGUCGUGAGAUGUUAGGUUAAGUCCUAAAACGAGCGAAACCCUUAUCGUUAGUUGCCAGCACGUUAUGGUGGGGACUUUAACGAGACUGCCAAUGAUAAAUUGGAGGAAGGUGAGGAUCACGUCAAAUCAGCAUGCCCCUUAUGACCUGGGCUACAAACGUGAUACAAUGGCUGUUACAAAGGGUAGCUGAAACGCAAGUUCUUGGCCAAUCCCCAAAAACAGUCCCAGUCCGGAUUGAAGUCUGCAACUCGACUUCAUGAAGUUGGAAUCGCUAGUAAUCGCGAAUCA
rnacentral:rRNA from 1 species